rnacentral:rRNA from 1 species
GAUGAACGCUGGCGGCGUGCCUAACACAUGCAAGUCGAGCGUGAUUUAUGAGGACGAAACUUCGGUCUAGGAAUCAUAAUGAAAGCGGCGGACGGGUGAGUAACGCGUAGGCAACCUGCCCUUGACACAGGGAUAGCCUCGGGAAACCGGGAUUAAAACCUGAUGACGCCAAACAGUCACAUGGCUGUUUGGCCAAAGAUUUAUCGGUCAAGGAUGGGCCUGCGUCUGAUUAGUUAGUUGGUGGGGUAACGGCCUACCAAGACGACGAUCAGUAGCCGACCUGAGAGGGUGAUCGGCCACAUUGGAACUGAGACACGGUCCAAACUCCUACGGGAGGCAGCAGUGGGGAAUAUUGCACAAUGGGCGAAAGCCUGAUGCAGCAACGCCGCGUGAGCGAUGAAGGCCUUUGGGUCGUAAAGCUCUGUCCUUGGGGAAGAAACAAAUGACGGUACCCAAGGAGGAAGCCCCGGCUAACUACGUGCCAGCAGCCACCGUAAUAC